ACCAGACUCCUACGGGAGGCAGCAGUGGGGAAUAUUGCACAAUGGGGGAAACCCUGAUGCAGCGACGCCGCGUGAGUGAAGAAGUAUUUCGGUAUGUAAAGCUCUAUCAGCAGGAACGAGACAAGACGGUACCUGACUAAGAAGCCCCGGCUAACUACGUGCCAGCAGCCGCGGUAAUACGUAGGGGGCAAGCGUUAUCCGGAAUCACUGGGUGUAAAGGGAGCGUAGACGGCUGUGCAAGCCUGAAGUGAAAGGCGGGGGCCCAACCCCUGGACUGCUUUGGGAACUGUACGGCUGGAGUGCAGGAGAGGUAAGUGGAAUUCCUAGUGUAGCGGUGAAAUGCGUAGAUAUUAGGAGGAACACCAGUGGCGAAGGCGGCUUACUGGACUGUAACUGACGUUGAGGCUCGAAAGCGUGGGGAGCAAACAGGAUUAGAUACCCUCGUAC
rnacentral:rRNA from 1 species